GUUCAAGAGUGCACUUUAUUGUGGCUCUAACCUUUUUCAAUAUACCUUUCACCCUUUUUUAAACCCAAAGCUGUUAUGUGUGCCUCUUUUGAGGUAUAGCAUCUCAGUAGUACGCAUCAUGUGAAUUUUUAUAAUUACAAGUUGCAUUACCUCCCCCCCUUUUUUUUUAUUUAAAUUUAACACUGUAAAAAGUUUUUAGAAUGUAAUAAACCCCCUUUAAAUUAAUAUAACUUUUAACAAUGGAUCUCUUGGCUCUCACAUCGAUGAAGAACACAGUGAAAUGUGAUAAGUAAUGUGAAUUGCAGAAUUCAGUGAAUCAUCGAAUCUUUGAACGCACCUUGCACCUUUUGGUUAUUCCGAAAGGUACACCUGUUUGAGUGUCAUGGAAACCCUCUCAUUCCAAUUUUUUAUUAAGUUAAGAAGUUGAAAUGGAUGUUGGGUGCUGCCGUCAUUGGCUCACCUUAAAUAUAUAAGUACUUUUAUUGAAAAAUAAAUGGAUAUACUUGGUGUGAUAUUUAUUAUUCAUUGAGGAGUGUGGUGCCUUAAAAACACUACAGCCAUUUGAGCUUUGAUAGAUAGCUUCCGAACCCCAAUAUAUAUAUCUUUUAGACCUCAAAUCAGGUGGGACUACCCGCUGAACUUAAGCAUAUCAAUAAGCGGAGGAAAAGAAACUAACAAGGAUUCCCCUAGUAACGGCGAGUGAAGAGGGAAAAGCC
rnacentral:rRNA from 1 species